rnacentral:rRNA from 1 species
ACGAACGCUGGCGGCAUGCCUAACACCUGCAAGUCGCACGAGACCUUCGGGUCUAGUGGCGCACGGGUGCGUAACGCGUGGGAACCUGCCCUUAGGUUCGGAAUAGCUCCCCGAAAGGGGUGCUAAUACCGGAUAAUGUCUUCGGACCAAAGAUUUAUCGCCUUUGGAUGGGCCCGCGUUGGAUUAGCUAGUUGGUAGGGUAAAAGCCUACCAAGGCGACGAUCCAUAGCUGGUCUGAGAGGAUGAUCAGCCACACUGGGACUGAGACACGGCCCAGACUCCUACGGGAGGCAGCAGUGGGGAAUAUUGGACAAUGGGCGAAAGCCUGAUCCAGCAAUGCCGCGUGAGUGAUGAAGGCCUUAGGGUUGUAAAGCUCUUUUACCCGGGAUGAUAAUGACAGUACCGGGAGAAUAAGCUCCGGCUAACUCCGUG